rnacentral:rRNA from 1 species
CAGUCGCCGCGGGAAUACGGAGGGUGCAAGCGUUAAUCGGAAUUACUGGGCGUAAAGCGCACGCAGGCGGUCUGACAAGUCAGAUGUGAAAUCCCCGGGCUUAACCUGGGAACUGCAUUUGAAACUGUCAGGCUGGAGUCUUGUAGAGGGGGGUGGAAUUCCAGGUGUAGCGGUGAAAUGCGUAGAGAUCUGGAGGAAUACCGGUGGCGAAGGCAGCCAUCUGGCCUAAUACUGACGCUGAGGUACGAAAGCAUGGGGAGCAAACAGGAUUAGAUACCCCGGUAGUCCCUGUCUCUUAUAC